rnacentral:ncRNA from 1 species
CCGGACCGUACCCACAUCCGCAGCAGUCUCCAAGGUGAACAGCCUCUAGUCGAUGGACCAAUGUAGGUAAGGGAAGUCGGCAAAACGGAUCCGUAACCUUGGGAUAAGGAUUGGCUCUGAGGACUGAGCCGGUCGGGCUGGGGACUGAAGCAGGAACGGCACUGCACCGGGACUGGGCGGGGCUCGCCGUUCACGCGGCGCGGCCAAGCCCGGACCAGCGUCGGGACCUUCCUGUGGAAAGCCUCAGCUGCGCGGCGUCUGAGGGCUUCGUGCCCAAAGUGCUAUGCUUCGGCCGGCAAAAAACAGUCAACUCAGAACUGGCACGGACCGGGGGAAUCCGACUGUCUAAUUAAAACAAAGCAUUGCGAUGGCCGCUGGUCGGUGUUGACGCAAUGUGAUUUCUGCCCAGUGCUCUGAAUGUCAACGUGAAGAGAUUCAUCAAAGCGCGGGUAAACGGCGGGAGUAACUAUGACUCUCUUGUGGUAGCCAAAUGCCUCGUCAUCUAAUUAGUGACGCGCAUGAAUGGAUUAACGAGAUUCCCACUGUCCCUAUCUACUCUUUUCAGCACCCUCGCGAUCCCCACCCGAAGACAGACAGCAACCCCGAUUCGACCAUAAAAUUGUUUAUUCCUCAAGAAGCCUGUAAUCAAGAACCAACUACCGCCGACCAUCAUCCAGCAAGCCGUCCAGAUCCAUAAUUCGACCAUAGAACUGUUAAAACAUCAAGCAUCAUGUAAAAAGAACUUUCAACAACCAUCGUCAACUAGCCCGAAACGCCACUCAAGAGAAGUCAUCAGAGAAGAACUGGGGGGGAGGGAGAUACAUUUUAGUAAUUGUUUAGUCCAGGAAGUAGCAUGUAAAAGGGGGAGGGAUUUUAGAAAAGGCUUUCAUUAGUGUGUACAUUGAUAUGUAUAUAUUUUUUCUUUAUAUCUUUCACACAUUUCACUUAAAUUUUACGUCUUUUUAUGUUUUUACCCUAUAUAGGUAUGUUUGCAAUUUUGUUUUUCCUUUUUUAUAUUUUUGCCUUAUAUAUGGGUGUGUAUGGUUUUGUAUGUAUGUAUGUGUGUAUGUACAUGUCCUAUGUAUAUAUACCCAUAUAUAUAUAUAUAGAU